GACGUAGGGGGCCAGCGUUGUUCGGAAUUACUGGGUGUAAAGGGUUCGUAGGCGGUGUGGCAAGUUGGGAGUGAAAUCUCUGGGCUCAACCCAGAGGCUGCUUCCAAAACUGCUGUGCCUGAGUGUGGGAGAGGCGCGUGGAAUUGCAGGUGUAGCGGUGAAAUGCGUAGAUAUCUGCAGGAACACCCGUGGCGAAAGCGGCGCGCUGGACCACUACUGACGCUGAGGAACGAAAGCUAGGGGAGCAAACAGG
rnacentral:rRNA from 1 species